GACGAACGCUGGCGGCGUGCUUAACACAUGCCAGUCGAACGGAAAGGCCCUGCUUUUGUGGGGUGCUCGAGUGGCGAACGGGCGAGUAACACGUGAGUAACCUGCCCUUGACUUUGGGAUAACUUCAGGAAACUGGGGCUAAUACCGGAUAGGAGCUCCUGCUGCAUGGUGGGGGUUGGAAAGUUUCGGCGGUUGGGGAUGGACUCGCGGCUUAUCAGCUUGUUGGUGGGGUAGUGGCUUACCAAGGCUUUGACGGGUAGCCGGCCUGAGAGGGUGACCGGCCACAUUGGGACUGAGAUACGGCCCAGACUCCUACGGGAGGCAGCAGUGGGGAAUAUUGCACAAUGGGCGGAAGCCUGAUGCAGCAACGCCGCGUGCGGGAUGAUGGCCUUCGGGUUGUAAACCGCUUUCGCCUGUGACGAAGCGUGAGUGACGGUAAUGGGUAAAGAAGCACCGGCUAACUACGUG
rnacentral:rRNA from 1 species